UACGUAGGGUGCAAGCGUUGUCCGGAAUUAUUGGGCGUAAAGAGCUCGUAGGCGGUUUGUCGCGUCGAAUGUGAAAACCCGGGGCUCAACCCCGGGCCUGCAUUCGAUACGGGCAGACUAGAGUUCGGUAGGGGAGUCUGGAAUUCCUGGUGUAGCGGUGAAAUGCGCAGAUAUCAGGAGGAACACCGGUGGCGAAGGCGGGUCUCUGGGCCGAUACUGACGCUGAGGAGCGAAAGCGUGGGUAGCAAGCAGG
rnacentral:rRNA from 1 species